rnacentral:rRNA from 1 species
AUUGAACGCUGGCGGCAGGCUUAACACAUGCAAGUCGAGCGAGCGGCGGACGGGUGAGUAAUGUCUGGGAAACUGCCUGAUGGAGGGGGAUAACUACUGGAAAGGUUAGCUAAUACCGCAUACCAUCAGAUGGGCCCAGAUGGGAUUAGCUAGUGGGUGGGGUAAUGGCUCACCAAGGCGACGAUCCCUAGCGGGUCUGAGAGGAUGACCAGCCACACUGGAACUGAGACACGGUCCAGACUCCUACGGGAGGCAGCAGUGGGGAAUAUUGCACAAUGGGCGCAAGCCUGAUGCAGCCAUGCCGCGUGUGGGAAGAAGGCCUUCGGGUUGUAAAGCACUUUCAGCGGGGAGGCGUUACUCGAAGAAUAAGCACCGGCUAACUCCGUGCCAGCAGCCGCGGUAAUAC